rnacentral:rRNA from 1 species
GUGGGGAAUUUUGGACAAUGGGCGCAAGCCUGAUCCAGCAAUGCCGCGUGCAGGAAGAAGGCCUUCGGGUUGUAAACUGCUUUUGUACGGAACGAAACGGUCCGGGUUAAUACCCUGGGCUAAUGACGGUACCGUAAGAAUAAGCACCGGCUAACUACGUGCCAGCAGCCGCGGUAAUACGUAGGGUGCAAGCGUUAAUCGGAAUUACUGGGCGUAAAGCGUGCGCAGGCGGUUUUGUAAGACAGGCGUGAAAUCCCCGGGCUCAACCUGGGAAUUGCGCUUGUGACUGAAAGGCUGGAGUGCGGCAGAGGGGGAUGGAAUUCCGCGUGUAGCAGUGAAAUGCGUAGAUAUGCGGAGGAACACCGAUGGCGAAGGCAAUCCCCUGGGCCUGCACUGACGCUCAUGCACGAAAGCGUGGGGAGCAAACAGGAUUAGAAACCCCAGUAGUCC